rnacentral:misc_RNA from 1 species
GAUGAAGAACGCAGUGAAAUGCGAUAAGUAAUGUGAAUUGCAGAAUUCAGUGAAUCAUCGAAUCUUUGAACGCACAUUGCGCCCGCCAGUAUUCUGGCGGGCAUGCCUGUUCGAGCGUCAUUUCAACCAUCAAGCCCCAGGCUUGUGUUGGGGACCUGCGGCUGCCGCAGGCCCUGAAAACCAGUGGCGGGCUCGCUGUCACACCGGGCGUAGUAGAUUUUAUCUCGCUCAGGGAGUGCUGCGGGUUCCGGCCGUUAAAAAGCCUUUUUUACCCAAGGUUGACCUCGGAUCAGGUAGGAAGACCCGCUGAACUUAAGCAUAUCAAUAAGCGGAGGA